GGGAGGGAAAUUAGGGAUUUGGACUCUUGAGAAAUUAUGGCAAUUAAAAAGAAAAAAUAAAAGAAAUAAAAAUAAUGUCUGCCCUUUUAAAAGAAAGAGCCCCAUUAAUGAUAAAUCAUUCCCAAGCUUUGAAAAUAAUAUCUAUUCCCUUAGCACACGCUACCUAAACUCAGCAACUGCCAUUUCCAUUCAACUUCUAAGAAAAGCUCAGCUAGGGCAAAGAAACCUGCCUCAAAAGUCCUACAACAUGUCUCAAC
rnacentral:lncRNA from 1 species